UGCAGACCACGUUUUCGAGUACAGUGACUCGCGUUGCCGACAUAAGAACGGAGUGUUUUGCAGCAGACGUUACGUCAGAGCAGUAAGAGGCGUGUUCGGUUCGCCGGUAACUGACGUGACACUGGUGGAAGAUCCAUCGGCAGUCCAGAAACCAGAACAGACCGUGGAUGAAAGAAAUAGUGGAUGCUAAUGGCUGCUGGAAAGAGGAAACAGUCAUACAGGGACCGACGAGAAGCGGCCAUUUGUACGUCCGGGCACGGCGAAAUUAAUGCAAACUGGGUCACGCACGCGCGCGUCGGCGGAGAUAGAAUUCGCGGCAUUGGCUGUCUCCCGCAGAAGUGGCCAGUUCGUUGCUUCGCGGCCCCGCCGCUUCCAGCGCGCGGCAACAGAUGGCAGCACCUCCGCCGCCGCCGUCAGAUAUGGCAGAGGCGUUGCUUGCCCAAACAUGGAACAGUUUUCGCUGGCCAGGGCGGUUUGUCCGUCGCGCCGGAUCGGAAAAAAACAACAAAUGCGGAGCAUCGAACGGCUACGAGCAGAGGACAGAAAUUUAAAAUGUGAUUCGGUGGGCUGCUUCGCGCACGAAGAGAGAAUGAUGACGCGGUUCCAGUGCACGGAAUCUUGACAAUACAGUGAGAAACUAACAGUCGAGAUGAAAGCGAUGAGUGAUUUUGACAGCAGAUGCGAUGUGGGCAUAGCGCAACGCAUCCCAAAAACCGGCACGUCUGACGCUGUGGAAGGGCUGAUCAGAUUCAGUUGGACAGUCGACUACACAACUCUAUCAAACUGGGUUCCUUCACUAGAAGGUGGAGACGGGAGAGUCGCAGCCAGCAGCGCCAAAGUACUGGGCGAGCCGACCGCACACGGAAGUAAUGC